GACGAACGCUGGCGGCGUGCUUAACACAUGCAAGUCGAGCGGUAAGGCCCUUUCGGGGGUACACGAGCGGCGAACGGGUGAGUAACACGUGGGUGACCUGCCCUCAGCUCUGGGAUAAGCCUGGGAAACCGGGUCUAAUACUGGAUAUGACUCCAUGACGCAUGUUGUGGGGUGGAAAGCCUUGUGCGGCUGAGGAUGGGCCCGCGGCCUAUCAGCUUGUUGGUGGGGNGAUGGCCUACCAAGGCGACGACGGGUAGCCGGCCUGAGAGGGCGACCGGCCACACUGGGACUGAGACACGGCCCAGACUCCUACGGGAGGCAGCAGUGGGGAAUCUUGCGCAAUGGGCGAAAGCCUGACGCAGCGACGCCGCGUGAGGGAUGACGGCCUCGGUGUAAC
rnacentral:rRNA from 1 species